AGCGCAGGUGGUUUAUUAAGCCUGGUGUAAAAGGCAGUGGCUCAACCAUUGUAUGCAUUGGAAACUGGUAGACUUGAGUGCAGGAGAGGAGAGUGGAAUUCCAUGUGUAGCGGUGAAAUGCGUAGAUAUAUGGAGGAACACCGGUGGCGAAAGCGGCUCUCUGGCCUGUAACUGACACUGAGGCUCGAAAGGCGUGGGAGCAAACA
rnacentral:rRNA from 1 species